rnacentral:rRNA from 1 species
UACGUAGGGGGCAAGCGUUGUUCGGAUUUAUUGGGCGUAAAGCGCGUGUAGGCGGCCAGAUAGGUCUGCUGUGAAAACUCGAGGCUCAACCUCGAGCUGUCGGCGGAAACCAUCUGGCUAGAGUCCGGAAGAGGAGAGUGGAAUUCCUGGUGUAGCGGUGAAAUGCGCAGAUAUCAGGAAGAACACCUAUGGCGAAGGCAGCUCUCUGGGACGGUACUGACGCUGAGACGCGAAAGCGUGGGGAGCGAACAGG